rnacentral:rRNA from 1 species
UACGGAGGGUGCGAACGGUAAUCGGAAUUACUGGGCGUAAAGCGCGCGUAGGCGGUUCGGCAAGUGGGAUGUGAAAGCCCCGGGCUUAACCUGGGAAUUGCGUUCCAAACUACCGAGCUAGAGUAUGGUAGAGGGAGGUAGAAUUUCCUGUGUAGCGGUGAAAUGCGUAGAUAUAGGAAGGAAUACCGGUGGCGAAGGCGGCCUCCUGGACCAAUACUGACGCUGAGGUGCGAAAGCGUGGGGAGCAAACAGG